rnacentral:lncRNA from 1 species
UGGAGUCGCCAAGCUGUCGCGACCUACCCUCGGGGGGAGGGAACAGGUUUAGGGGUAUUGCCCAAAGGACGGGCCUAAGGCCCAUGAUUAGGCGCGAGCUCUCCCAAGCCCAUACCCCGCGUGACGUUGGGAUAUUCUUAAGAAAUUUUACAUAAAAUGAGUCGCCACUAGCCUAUUGGGGUCGGCUAGAAACCAAGUGAGACAUGGGAGCGUGUCUCACUUCCUACGCAACCAGAGAAUUUAGGUUCGGGGACUUGAUUACACUAAUUAACCAAUUAGUGCCCUUUCGGUACCUAAUCUUGUUCGUUUUAACAAAAUGAUUUUUGCCAGGCAAUUUGGAUUGAUUUUAUAUUUAUCCACUAACAUGUGAGGUGAUCAUGCAGGCGCGCAAUCAUUAAAGUAAUAAUCAUAACUACCAAGAUCCUAAUUGCAAUAAGAUUAAACACAUGCAAUCAAACAUAAUUAAACAUGCAACAUAAUUAAUAUACGAGCACAUAAAAGUCUAAUUAUGCUAAAAUGGCAAUACAUGGCAAAUCCUAAUCAAAUCCCAUCAUUUUUGGAU